rnacentral:rRNA from 1 species
AUUGAACGCUGGCGGCAGGCCUAACACAUGCAAGUCGAGCGGAUGAAGGGAGCUUGCUCCUGGAUUCAGCGGCGGACGGGUGAGUAAUGCCUAGGAAUCUGCCUGGUAGUGGGGGAUAACGUCCGGAAACGGGCGCUAAUACCGCAUACGUCCUUAGGGAGAAAGUGGGGGAUCUUCGGACCUCACGCUAUCAGAUGAGCCUAGGUCGGAUUAGCUAGUUGGUGGGGUAAAGGCGUACCAAGGCGACGAUCCGUAACUGGUCUGAGAGGAUGAUCAGUCACACUGGAACUGAGACACGGUCCAGACUCCUACGGGAGGCAGCAGUGGGGAAUAUUGGACAAUGGGCGAAAGCCUGAUCCAGCCAUGCCGCGUGUGUGAAGAAGGUCUUCGGAUUGUAAAGCACUUUAAGUUGGGAAGAAGAGCAGUAAGUUAAUACCUUGCUGUUUUGACGUUACCAACAGAAUAAGCACCGGCUAACUUCGUG